rnacentral:rRNA from 1 species
GAUGAACGCUGGCGGCGUGCCUAAUACAUGCAAGUCGAGCGAACGGACGAGAAGCUUGCUUCUCUGAUGUUAGCGGCGGACGGGUGAGUAACACGUGGAUAACCUACCUAUAAGACUGGGAUAACUUCGGGAAACCGGAGCUAAUACCGGAUGAUAUUUUGAACCGCAUGGUUCAAAAGUGAAAGACGGUCUUGCUGUCACUUAUAGAUGGAUCCGCGCUGCAUUAGCUAGUUGGUAAGGUAACGGCUUACCAAGGCAACGAUGCAUAGCCGACCUGAGAGGGUGAUCGGCCACACUGGAACUGAGAAACGGCCCCGACUCCGACGGGAGGACGCAGUAGGGAAUCUUCCGCAAGGGGCGAAAGCCUGACGGAGCAACGCCGCGUGAGCGAUGAAGGUCUUCGGAUCGUAAAACUCUGUUAUUAGGGAAGAACAUAUGUGUAAGUAACUGUGCACAUCUUGACGGUACCUAAUCAGAAAGCCACGGCUAACUACGUG